rnacentral:misc_RNA from 1 species
AAAGCAGGCUGCUCACAGGGGAUCGAUUAGCAACAUCUGGCUGUGCAGAAGAUGUUCACUGUGGCGUAUGCGGAACUGAAGAUGAGAGCCAUAAUUGUAUAUUCUUUCGGUGUCUGUUCUCAUCUCAGGUGUGGCAGAAGGUACUCUGUUGGCAAAGUAUCCAUAGGGAGGGGCUCGAGGAUGGGAAUAGGAAAUAACUCGAGUAAAUGCCUAACGCAAAAGCAAGCAAGCAAGAGCUGAGGUAUAUAGGAUGGCACUGGCUGCAAGUGCUUAUCUUAUUUGGCAGGAGAGGAACCAACGAAUUUUCCGAAAGAUAACAAGAACCCCUGCAAUGCUGGCAAAACAGGUUGUUCAAGAGGUACAUAUAAGAGGAAGAACAAAACCAAGACUAAGCUAUGUAUUGUAAACUCUGAAUUUCUACCCUGUGAUAGUGAUA